ensembl:lncRNA
CUUUAAUAUAUCAAGACGCACGAGAUUUUUAAUCAUUAUGAGCAAAGAACCUCAAGCCUGUUUCAGUUCAAAUAAUGGCUGGAGAACUUUCAUGUGGUUUGAGGGGCCAAUCCUUCUACCUGCAUGAUGUGAAGAGACAUCAUCAGCCGUCUGGGAGGGAAAGUGGACAGUUUUCUCACCAAGGAUGUGAAUGUGAUUUUGUCGGGCGUUAAAGAACCUCAUAGUGCUUUGCAGGUGGAUGGUUCAUGUACUGCAGGGGGAAACAAAGUGGAACCCCCAGAACUUUGGAAGUUCAGACCAUUCUGCACAGUUUCCCAGCGAUGAGUUUCUGAGGGAAAUUUGGCCCUUUUGAGCCCCUCAUUCCUCGGCAAUCUGGUAGAAGCAAGGAUGUAGAUUCCAGCAAGGACAAUUUCAGGAAGAAAGAAGCCACUAGCAGCUGCUGUAAGAUGCAAGCACCACUUACUGCAAGCACACACACAGAGGCCUAACUGAGAAAAGUUCAGGCUAUUGUGAGUGCUGCCACAUGGUCUACAAAGACCAGUAAGAAGUCAUCGACAGGCUUCUUUCAAUUACAGUUGUGUAAUUUAACUGAGAAUACUGUCAGCGAGAAUGAAAAAUCUCUUCAGACUCCACUGGUUCAAGAAUGUGAUCGUCUACUGGCGAUUACUGACAACAGAGGAAACCUCUUUCCUACACGUAUCCUGGUCAACAAAAUGCAACCUCACACCCUACAAUACAAAAUAACUCUCCUGAUCCUCUUGGCAAUGUCAAAUUAGGCCUUUACAUCAGCUGCACCACAAAUGUUCAGGACUUUCGAUCUGGAGUUCUCUGCAUGGAUAUAGUACCACAUCACAUUCCCCCGAAAUCCCAGCCAAUAAAGAAGAAACCCAAAAGCCUCUCUUCUGUCAUACUUUCAGAAGCUACAUCUAAAAUGCUCACUCUAAGCUCUUCCGGAGAUAACAAAAUCCCAUGCAUCAUUUCUGGUGUUAAAAAUGUUCCUGAAUCUCAGGAACGAUGUGAAGGUGGUCAUGAUCUACAUGUGCUGCAUUUGCGAAGGGGUCUUAUAGGUGGUAUUCCUAACACGGUCAACUCUCGAAAUCAAAAACAUGAUUGGGAUCACGGUUUAAAAAUGUGCUUAAAAAGCCCUAAGAUGCUACUCCAGCAAGGUGAAGAUGAUAAUUCUGAAGGUUGUGGCCAGUAUGUGUUGGACCAUAAAAAGUUGCCUUCAACAAAACAGUCACUGAAAUCAGCCCAAUAUAUUUUUUGGACUCCAGAGUUAGGCAUCUCUUACCUUUCAUUACCACAUAUUUUACCAUUUCCACACUUGUCAGAUUACCCAUUUUCUAUAGUUAGCUUUAAAAAGCACUUCUGGUCCUUCACUCCAAGUCCAAAACUUGCCAAGAGAAGAAAGAUUAAUCAAAGUGAAAAGCAAAACCCAAUUCAGGGGGCUUGCAGUGCUUCCUGGAUAAGACAAUACUCAUAUUUUACUUUCCACCAUGCCAUGUUUACUGGUCUCCAAGGUGGGUUUUACAACAGAGAUGAAUAAACAAACUGUAGAUAGCAUACUAGCAACCAAUGAAUCAUCACUGAAUGAGUCAUCUCUUGUGAAUCAGAUCCCAACUCAGCCUUCCCUAAAAUAUUUUACUUGCAGUACCCACUGUUUGCCACAUCAAGUUGACCAACAGGACAAUGCUGCAAAUCAACCCUGUGUCCAUGUAAAGCAGUCACAUGAAUUGUCUCCAAUCAAAAAUCCAGUGGAAUUCCAAAUAACCACUUACUCAUCUGAUUUGGACCCUCCUCAGUUGGUUCCAUUUUUCCAUGAAGACCAUCAACUCCAGCACCAUCAGUUUCAUGAUCCUCCAGAACUGUUACCCUUUUUUAACCAUACACUGGAAAAUACUUUCUAUACAUCAGUCAGUAAAGCCUCAAACAGCUCAUUCCUGUCACACUCCGGAGCCUUCGUUUUGCAUUGAAUCUCCUCUCCUCCCUAAUCUCAUGUGGUCCACGGCCUCUUCUGAGUCAGAUUGGGAUUCCGGCCUGUUUUCAUGGUUUGCGGCUGGAGUUCCUCUUCAGAAUAAAGGGGCACAUGAUGACCUGGGUCUGUUAUUAAAAAAACCACACACUGGCAUGCAGGAUGGGAGCUAUACAUCACAAUUGUGCUCCAUACUGCAACCCUCUUGAUUCACAUCGUUGGGAUUGAAGGUGCAACAAUCCAACAAUUGCGACUGUUGAUGAAUUCAAUCCUAAAGCAUUUCUUCAUUCUCCAUUCUUAGUAGUCCUCAUUUUUCACCUCUACAAUUAAAUUGACUACCACCAUUAUUUGUGAAAUAAGACUAAUGAAUAAUGAAUGAAUUGUUUGUUUUUCUUAAAGAAGAUUUUAGCCUAACUCUGCGGCUAAUGUAUAAAUAAAUUCCUCUUUUUCACAUAUGUUCUUUUCAUGAGGACUGCUCAAAACUAUUUUUUUUUUCUUCUGGAUAAUAAAACCAUCUUGUCUUACAUCAAUAUUGCUUUAUACAUUUUUUGUUAAAAAUAUUGAACAGUGUUUGUCUCUCAGUAUGCAAUAUCUCACCAAAACCAAAGAAAACAAUUAGUUUUAAUUAACAGCUGGCAAGUAUUUCAUGCUUUUCUCUUUGAGUGACCUCCAUGACUUCUCUUAUGGCUCUGUCUUGCCCUGAGUGUUGACCAUGACUUUUCAGUGGAAAUAUCCAGGAACAUGUGCUGGUAUUGAGAAUUUAAUGAGGCUUUCCUGGAGGGGCAUUAUCGAAUUAGUUUAAGUGCUGUAUCUGGCCUCUCUCCAGUUUAGAGGCAGUGUUGAUGGUAGAACAAUGCCAUGGUGUUUUUUUGAGAACAUGCAGGAUAGGAACACUCUGAAGGCAAAAAUCAUUUUUAAAAGACAUUUCAGAUUUCCUGUAAAUGUGCAUCUGUUGAUGUGGUGGCAUGACUGGUACAGUGGGGAGUGUUUUAAUUAUUUAAUAUCAAUUAAUGUUUUAAGGCAUCUUUUAGUGACAGAACAUUCCUAUUACAGAAGUUCUGAAAGGAGUAUAGCUUGUACCACUGAUGUCCAUGUAUUAAUGUAGAAUUUUCCAUAAACACCGGAAAUUAGCUUUAUGAAGGCCUAAGGACAGUUAUACAUGUUUCUAAAACAAAAUCCUGAAUAAAUGUAG